rnacentral:lncRNA from 1 species
AGAGCUCUACCAACAUAUAUAUUCAUUCAUAUCAUACAGUCAAUAAACUGUGUUUUCAAUUCACGCAUCAAGACAAAUACAAAAUCACAAAUUAAUUAUCUAGAAAUACGAUAAAAAAAGUAUGAGAAAGUACUUGAGAAAUCACUAAGCAAAACCUUUAGUGACUUUCAAAGUCCUACAGAAAAAGAAUGAAAAGAUUGUUUGGCGACUUAGGAAUCGUAAGAAGAUAUCUUAACUUCCAGUCUCCGACACAAAUUUUCUCUUAGAUUUUCUCUACAAAUUGAGAAUGGAUGA